AUGGACCGGAUUUUGAGUGAGAUGAAUGAGCUUCGGAAGGAACUGCUUCGUUUGCCAGAGUUAUGCGCACAGAGGAUGAUUAAGGAACUGAACAAAACCGGCGUCUUCUACAAACCCAGUAACCUGGAAGAAGACAAAGAGAAUCUGUACGGAGGCAUUAAUGAGUAUUCAAACGGUGGACGUCCGAAAAAAGAGUUUGUAUAUCAAAAAGAUGAUUCAGACCGGUUCCGCACACCUUCCAAAAUGAAUUUGCAAAAGGAUGAUGACGACGGUGAUGUAACUUCUUGUGGAAACACACCUUUUUACUACACACCUGAGUACUGUGAUAGUUUCAAGGGAGUACAAGAGGAAGUGGAGGAGAUUACUGGCAGGAGCAAGUGCAAAGGAUCACAACAUGUCAAGUCUCCUUAUGUGGUCCCUAAACCGAACAAGCGUGCAAAACGUUCUGCGAAAGGAAAAUUGUUCCAAAAUGGUGGUGUUAACAAAUCUAGUGAUGAGUAUGAUGUGGUGAAAGCGUCCAUCGAGUACGUGCGCGCGCAUGAGCAUUCACAAAAACAUGCCAAAACAGAAAUUUUGAAUGAUGGCUUGGAAGAAAGUCUGACUAGAAAACAACUAGCAGAAGAUAUCCAAAAAGCAAAUGCAACCGGAAUUGUGAAUUAUCCGGAUGUUUCCAAUUGGCCUAUUGAAACGUAUGACAUGCCAAAAGAACAUGAUGGGAAUUCGUGUGGAAUAUUUCUCCUUCGAUGCUUUCAAUUUUGGGAUGGUGACAAAUGGACAGGCUUAUUUUCACAGAGGUCAAUUGAUGAUUCGAGAGAGGUAAUGAUUGCGCAACUUAUCUUUUCGGAAAGAAACAAGCUUGAUGAAGUGAAAAACAAAGUUAUUCGAAUAUCAAAGAAGAAGAAAUAG
rnacentral:rRNA from 1 species